rnacentral:rRNA from 1 species
CCUACGGGUGGCAGCAGUGAGGCAUAUUGGUCAAUGGGCGGAAGCCUGAACCAGCCAAGUAGCGUUCAGGAUGACGGCCCUACGGGUUGUACACUGCUUUUAUACGGGAAUAACGCGCCUUCCGUGUAGUGCUUUUCAUGUACCUUAUGAAUAAUGACCGGCUAAUUCCGUGCCAGCAGCCUCGGUAAUACGGCAGGUCCGGGCGUUAUCCGGAUUUAUUUGGUUUAAAGGGAGAGUAGGCCGGAUGUCCAGCGUUCUGUGAAAUGUCCGGGCUCAACCCGGGACUUGCAGCGCGAACUGGCGUGCUUGAGUCCGGGGAAGGCAGGCGGAAUGCGUCGUGUAGCGGUGAAAUGCUUAGAUAUGACGAAGAACCCCGAUUGCGAAGGCAGCUUGCUGCAGCGGAACUGACGCUGAUGCUCGAAAGCGCGGGUAUCGAACAGGAUUAGAUACCCGGGUAGUC